rnacentral:rRNA from 1 species
UACGAAGGGUGCAAGCGUUACUCGGAAUUACUGGGCGUAAAGCGUGCGCAGGCGGUUUUGUAAGCCAGAUGUGAAAUCCCCGGGCUCAACCUGGGAACUGCAUUUGUGACUGCAUAGCUAGAGUACGGUAGAGGGGGAUGGAAUUCCGCGUGUAGGCAGUGAAAUGCGUAGAUAUGCGGAGGAACACCGAUGGCGAAGGCAAUCCCCUGGACCUGUACUGACGCUCAUGCACGAAAGCGUGGGGAGCAAACAGG